CCUGAUGGUUUUCCUUCCAUGCUUCCACCUGUGGUGCCACCGUGUCCCUUAGAGCUGAGAUUUCACCUGCUGGCAUUGCUGGGGACCUGAGUUGGGAAAGGCGACGGAGCCCAGCUGAAGCUGGCACCGCAGCGUGGUCUCCCCUUGUGCUGGAGGAGAGGGGAGGGAGAUGCUGGCGGGCUCCUUGCCCAGGGACAAAACCCUUCUGGCUCCCCCAUCCUGGGGUGGAAGCGGAGCGUGAUGCCUGCCCUUGCUGCGGGAGGAGGAGGUGCUGGUGGUGUCCCCCCUGCAUUUCUUUGUUCUUUUGUUGCGGGGACCUCCCUGAUCCCAGCAGGCUUUAACACAAGGACCCCUUGGAGGAUCCAUGGUACUAAUCCAACAAGAAAGACCACCACGGAGCUGGGGGAGCCCCCAGACCUUUCCCUCUCCAAAAUAUCGUAAGGCUCCGAACUGGGAGAGGCUGAACAUUACAGAGCUCCUCCAGGAGAGACCAGGGUAGGGGUGAGACCCGCAUCCACUGGCAGCUUCUUGUGGCUGCUGGGAGCUCGGUGAGGCUCC
rnacentral:lncRNA from 1 species